ACCAAGAUGGACGCGUCCAUUUGAACGUUUCGCAUGCCUGCCUCUGGUUAGCAGUCCGCUGCUGCUGCUGCUGCCGCCGCUGCCCAUUCUUCCUCCGGCAUAAGGGAGGGAGAGGGGAUGAGAAGCUGCAGUGACCCAGGACUCUUUGUGACCGACCUGCCGCUGCUCUCGGGCCUCCUCGGCCCCUGCGCCUCCGGGGAGCAGCCGGGGCUCGCAGCGCCUGACGCGUCCCGAGUCAUCCAGAAAUAAUGUUGAUAUUUGGAACCCAUGUCGAACUUCUAUGAAGAAAGGGCAACGAUGAUUGCAGCCGGGGAUUUGCAGGAAUUUGUUCCUUUUGGUCGAGACCACUGCAAGCACCACCCUAAUGCUUUGAAUCUUCAGCUUCGACAGCUGCAGCCAGCUUCUGAAUUAUGGUCUUCUGAUGGUGCUGCUGGCUUGGUGGGAUCUCUUCAGGAGGUUACAAUCCAUGAAAAACAGAAGGAAAGCUGGCAGUUAAGGAAAGGCGUAAGUGACAUUGGAGAAGAAGUGGACUAUGAUGAGGAACUCUAUGUGGCUGGAAAUAUGGUGAUCUGGAGCAAAGGAAGUAAAAGCCAGGCAUUGGCAGUCUACAAAGCGUUUACAGUUGACAGUCCUGUUCAACAGGCAUUGUGGUGUGACUUCAUUAUAUCACAGGAUAAGUCUGAAAAGACCUACAGUAGCCAUGAAGUAGAAAAAUGCAUAUGUAUAUUACAGAGCUCAUGUAUUAAUAUGCAUAGCAUAGAAGGAAAGGAUUAUAUAGCUUCUUUACCAUUUCAGGUUGCAAAUGUUUGGGCCACUAAAUAUGGAUUGUUGUUUGAACGAAGCAGUUCUUCACAUGAGGUACCUCCAGGUCCACCCAGAGAACCUUUGCCCACUAUGUUCAGCAUGCUGCACCCACUAGAUGAAAUAACCCCACUUGUUUGUAAAUCUGGAAGUCUUUUUGGUUCAGCACGGGUGCAAUAUGUUGUAGAUCAAGCAAUGAAAAUUGUGUUCCUUAACAUCAACCCCUCCAUUGUGAUGACCUAUGAUGCUGUUCAAAAUGUGCAUUCUGUGUGGACUCUUAGGAGAGUCAAAUCAGAGGAAGAGAAUGCUGUUUUAAAGUUCUCUGAACAGGGGGCAACCCCGCAGAACGCAGUCACGAGCAGCUCCCUCACUGCACAUCUCAGAAGCCUCUCUAAGGGCGAUUCCCCCGUGGCUUCCCCUUUCCAGAAUUACUCCUCCAUUCACAGCCAGAGUCGCUCAGCCUCAUCACCCAGUCUGCACUCUCGUUCACCUUCCAUUUCCAACAUGGCAGCUCUAAGUCGUGCUCACUCUCCUGCCUUGGGUGUGCACUCUUUUUCUGGGGUGCAAAGGUUCAACCUUUCAAGCCAUAAUCAAUCUCCAAAGAGACACAGUAUUUCUCAUUCUCCAAAUAGUAAUUCUAAUGGCUCCUUUCUUGCACCAGAAACAGAGCCAAUUGUUCCUGAAUUGUGCAUUGAUCACUUGUGGACUGAAACAGUUACUAACAUAAGAGAGAAAAAUUCACAGGCCUCAAAGGUGUUUAUUACAUCUGAUCUAUGUGGACAAAAAUUCUUGUGCUUUUUAGUUGAAUCCCAGUUCCAGUUACGCUGUGUAAAGUUUCAAGAAAGUAAUGACAAAACCCAGCUCAUCUUUGGUUCUGUCACCAGCAUACAUGCAAAGGACGCAGCACCAGUGGAGAAGAUUGACACCAUGCUAGUGCUGGAAGGCAGUGGAAACCUGGUACUAUACACAGGAGUGGUUCGGGUGGGAAAGGUUUUUAUCCCUGGACUGCCAGCUCCUUCCCUGACAAUGUCCAACACAAUGCCUCGGCCCAGUACACCCCUUGAUGGUGUUAAUACUCCUAAGCCUCUUAGCAAACUACUUGGAUCAUUGGAUGAGGUUGUUCUUUUGUCCCCGGUUCCGGAACUGAGGGAUUCCUCAAAACUUCAUGAUUCUCUCUAUAAUGAGGAUUGUACUUUCCAGCAGCUUGGAACUUACAUUCAUUCUAUCAGAGAUCCGGUCCAUAAUAGAGUAACUCUAGAACUGAGCAAUGGCUCCAUGGUUCGGAUCACUAUUCCUGAAAUUGCCACCUCAGAAUUAGUACAAACAUGUCUACAAGCAAUUAAGUUUAUCCUGCCAAAAGAAAUAGCAGUUCAGAUGCUUGUCAAGUGGUACAAUGUCCACAGUGCUCCCGGAGGACCCAGUUAUCACUCAGAGUGGAAUUUAUUUGUGAUUUGUCUUCUGAACAUGAUGGGCUAUAACACAGACCGCUUAGCAUGGACCAGAAAUUUCGACUUUGAAGGAUCACUUUCCCCAGUCAUUGCACCCAAAAAAGCAAGGCCUUCUGAGACUGGAUCUGAUGAUGACUGGGAAUAUUUAUUAAAUUCUGACUAUCACCAGAAUGUUGAGUCUCAUCUCUUGAACAGAUCUUUAUGUUUGAGUUCUUUGGAAAUUUCCAAGGGGAAGGAUAAAGAAUUUCCACACAAUCUCAGUCUAGAUUCUUCUACUCUUCUUUUUACUCACAUACCUGCAAUUUUUUUUGUUCUUCACCUUGUCUAUGAGGAGCUUAAGUUGAAUACUCUCAUGGGAGAAGGAAUUGGUUCACUUGUUGACCUUCUUGUUCAGCUGGCAAGGGACUUACAGUUGGGGCCUUAUGUAGAUCAUUACUAUAGAGAUUACCCAUCACUUGUCAGGGCUACUGGACAGAUGUGCACAAUUGAUCAAGGUCAAACAGGAUUUAUGCAUCAUCCAUCAUUUUUUACUGCUGAGCCGCCGAGUAUUUAUCAUUGGGUGAGCUCUUGUCUGCAGGGCGAAGGAAUGCCACCCUAUCCUUAUCUCCCUGGGAUCUGUGAAAGAAGCCGACUAGUAGUCUUGAGUAUUGCCCUCUACAUCCUUGGUGAUGAGAGCUCUGUUUCUGAUGAAGCGUCACAGUAUUUAUCCAAAAUAACUAUAACCCCCCAAAAGCUGCAAGUGGAACAAGAAGAAAAGAGGUUUAGUUUCCGGCAUUCUACAUCUGUUUCUAGCUUGGCUGAAAGAUUAGUUGUCUGGAUGACUAGUGUAGGAUUCACUUUAAGAGACUUGGAAACUCUUCCAUUUGGAGUUGCUCUUCCCAUCAGAGAUGCAAUCUAUCACUGUCGUGAGCAGCCUGCUUCAGACUGGCCAGAAGCUGUCUGUCUCUUGAUUGGACGUCAGGAUCUUUCCAAGCAGGCUUGUGAAGGAAACUUACCCAGAGGGAAAUCUGUGCUCUCAUCAGAUGUUCCUUCAGGAACAGAGGCUGAAGAGGAAGAUGACGGCAUGAAUGACAUGAAUCAUGAGGUUAUGUCAUUAAUCUGGAGUGAAGACUUACGGGUACAGGAUGUGCGAAGGUUGCUUCAAAGUGCGCAUCCGGUCCGUGUCAAUGUGGUGCAGUACCCAGAACUCAGUGACCACGAGUUCAUUGAAGAGAAAGAAAACAGAUUGCUCCAGUUGUGUCAGCGAACUAUGGCUCUUCCUGUAGGACGAGGAAUGUUUACUUUGUUUUCAUACCAUCCUGUUCCAACAGAACCAUUGCCUAUUCCUAAGUUGAAUCUGACUGGGCGAGCCCCACCUCGGAACACAACAGUAGAUCUUAAUAGUGGGAACAUUGAUGUGCCUCCGAACAUGACAAGCUGGGCCAGCUUCCAUAAUGGUGUGGCUGCUGGCCUGAAGAUAGCUCCUGCCUCUCAGAUCGAUUCAGCUUGGAUUGUUUACAAUAAGCCCAAGCAUGCUGAGUUAGCCAAUGAGUAUGCUGGCUUCCUCAUGGCCCUGGGUCUCAAUGGGCACCUUACCAAGCUGGCUACUCUCAAUAUUCAUGACUACUUGACCAAGGGCCAUGAAAUGACAAGCAUUGGACUACUACUUGGUGUUUCUGCUGCAAAAUUAGGCACCAUGGAUAUGUCAAUUACUCGGCUUCUUAGUAUUCACAUUCCUGCUCUCUUACCCCCAACGUCCACAGAGCUUGAUGUUCCUCACAAUGUCCAAGUGGCUGCAGUGGUUGGCAUUGGGCUUGUAUAUCAAGGGACAGCUCAUAGACAUACUGCAGAAGUCCUGUUGGCUGAAAUAGGGCGGCCCCCUGGUCCUGAAAUGGAGUAUUGUACUGACAGAGAGUCAUACUCGUUAGCUGCUGGCCUGGCCCUGGGCAUGGUUUGCUUGGGGCAUGGUAGUAAUUUGAUAGGCAUGUCUGAUCUCAAUGUGCCUGAGCAGCUGUAUCAGUACAUGGUUGGAGGUCAUAGGCGCUUUCAAGCUGGAAUGCACAGGGAGAAACAUAAAUCCCCAAGUUAUCAAAUCAAAGAAGGAGAUACCAUAAAUGUGGAUGUGACUUGUCCAGGUGCUAUUCUAGCUUUGGCUAUGAUCUACUUAAAAACCAACAACAGAUCCAUUGCAGAUUGGCUCCGAGCUCCUGAUACCAUGUAUUUGUUGGACUUCGUGAAACCAGAAUUUCUCUUGCUUAGGACACUUGCUCGAUGCCUAAUUCUUUGGGACGAUAUUUUACCAAAUUCCAAGUGGGUUGACAGCAAUGUUCCUCAAAUUAUAAGGGAAAAUAGUAUUUCUCUGAGUGAAAUUGAAUUGCCUUGCUCAGAGGAUUUGAAUUUGGAAACUUUGUCGCAAGCACAUGUCUACAUAAUUGCAGGAGCCUGUUUGUCUCUGGGUUUUCGAUUUGCUGGCUCAGAAAACUUAUCAGCAUUUAACUGUUUGCAUAAAUUUGCAAAAGAUUUUAUGACUUACUUGUCUGCUCCUAAUGCUUCUGUAACAGGUCCUUAUAACCUGGAAACUUGCUUGAGUGUGGUGCUGCUGUCUCUUGCCAUGGUGAUGGCUGGCUCUGGGAACUUAAAGGUGUUGCAGCUUUGUCGCUUCCUACACAUGAAAACAGGUGGUGAAAUGAACUAUGGUUUUCACUUAGCCCACCACAUGGCCCUUGGACUUCUGUUUUUGGGAGGAGGAAGGUACUCUUUGAGCACAUCAAACUCUUCCAUUGCUGCUCUUCUCUGUGCCCUUUAUCCACACUUCCCAGCUCACAGCACUGAUAAUAGGUAUCAUCUCCAGGCUCUCCGACACCUUUAUGUACUGGCUGCAGAACCAAGGCUUUUAGUGCCUGUGGAUGUGGAUACAAACACGCCCUGUUAUGCCCUCUUAGAAGUUACCUACAAGGGCACUCAGUGGUAUGAACAAACCAAAGAAGAAUUGAUGGCUCCUACCCUUCUUCCAGAACUCCACCUUUUAAAGCAGAUUAAAGUUAAAGGCCCAAGAUACUGGGAACUGCUCAUAGAUUUAAGCAAGGGAACACAGCACUUGAAGUCCAUUCUCUCCAAGGAUGGGGUUUUAUAUGUCAAACUCAGGGCUGGCCAACUCUCUUACAAAGAAGAUCCAAUGGGGUGGCAAAGUUUGUUGGCCCAGACUGUUGCCAAUAGGAACUCUGAAGCGCGGGCUUUCAAGCCAGAAACAAUUUCAGCAUUCACUUCUGAUCCAGCACUUCUGUCAUUUGCCGAAUAUUUUUGCAAACCAACUGUGAAUAUGGGCCAGAAACAGGAAAUUCUGGAUCUCUUUUCUUCAGUACUCUAUGAAUGUGUCACUCAGGAGACCCCGGAGAUGUUGCCUGCAUAUAUAGCAAUGGAUCAGGCUAUAAGAAGACUUGGAAAAAGAGAAAUGUCUGAGACAUCUGAACUUUGGCAAAUAAAGUUGGUGUUAGAGUUUUUCAGCUCCCGAAGCCAUCAGGAGCGAGUGCAGAACCACCCUAAGCGAGGGCUGUUUAUGAACUCCGAGUUCCUGCCAGUGGUGAAGUGCACUAUUGAUAAUACUCUGGACCAGUGGCUGCGAGCUGGGGGUGGCGUGUGUGUGCGUGCUUAUCUCAGUGGGCAGCCUGUUGAGGAGUCGCAGCUGACCAUGCUGGCCUGCUUCCUUGCCUACCACUCCGUCCCAGCUCCACGGCACCUGCCGCCUAUGGGGCUAGAAGGGAGCACAAGCUUUGCUGAGCUCCUCUUCAGAUUUAAACAGCUCAAGAUGCCAGUGCGAGCUCUGCUGAGACUGGCGCCCCUGCUCCUUGGAAAUCCGCAGCCAAUGGUUAUGUGACCACGUCAGAUGGUGGAGAGUGGGAGAUGCUUUUCAUGCUGACUGGUCUUGAGGGCUCUGUGUACACCAAUGCUGAGAGAACGUUCUAUGAACCAGAAGUUUUUGUGGCUACGUGGAGAUCAAAAUGACACCUAGAUUUGACAUAAUCAGAAGAUGACAGCAGUUCCAAGGGAGAGUUGUGCUGCCAAGCUUCUCACAUUUAAGGCUGAGAAAUGUGUCAAGCGGCUGCCUGGGGAUCCCUAGACCACGAAGACUAUUCUCUUCUGUGACCCUUCUGCGGUUCUGGCUGGAUGUUCUGUCUGGAAGCGUCCU